rnacentral:rRNA from 1 species
UCCGUAGGCGGUGUGGCAAGUCGGUAGUGAAAUCUCUCGGCUUAACUGAGAGGCUGCUGCCGAAACUGCCAUGCUCGAGUGCGAGAGAGGCGAGUGGAAUUGCGGGUGUAGCGGUGAAAUGCGUAGAUAUCCGCAGGAACAUCCGAGGCGAAAGCGGCUCGCUGGAUCGCAACUGACGCUGAGGGACGAAAGCUAGGGGAGCAAACAGGAUUAGAUACCCCUGGUAGUCCUAGCCCUAAACCAUCAGGACUUGGGGUUUGCCCUGUACGGGGCAAGUCCCGGAGCUAACGCGUUAAGUCCUGCGCCUGGGAGUACGGUCGCAAGGCUGAA